GAAGAACAAUGGCUAUUCUUUGCAGCAGCCAUUGUUGUGCAUGUGUCCACUACGUGUUUUAUUUUGUAGGGCUGAUUUGCUAAGCAAUUGGCUGAAUCAAAUCCAUCACAUUCACAGACCUGUUUUCUUGAAAUGUUGUUUUCCCAGCAUGGACAAAGUAGAAGAUGGCGAGGCAGCAGGGUGGAAUGUUGUCUGCUCAGAAGCAGGAGGUCAGCACCUACGCCUGAUGGAUUUUGGUCAUGAGGCUUGGCUUUAGCCAAAGAGGCUAUUGCAGAUCGACUGUGCAAAGAGAGUUCUAGAAAGUACCAGGUGCUCCUGGUGAACACAGAGUUUGAGAUGACACCAGAUUCUCCGGUUUUGCUGGCCAAGAUGCCACCAGACAAAGGAUGGAAAUAACUGGCCGCACCCUAUGGGCUACAGUGGCUUCUCACAGACCUUGGAGGGGGCAGUGAAGGUUUGGGAUUUGCAUUGGUGAUGAGAAGAAGGGGAAGCCUCACUUCUGAGAACAUUUCUGCCUCAAAUGCACAGACGGAGCUAACCUUGCAGGCACAGCGGGCAGCCCUGCAUGACCUGUGUUCCCCGUGAUGCCAGGGUCCUGGAAGAAAGGGACACGGGGGACAUCUCUGCGCAGCACUGGGACAGGCCAGCUGUCCGUGCGUCCUGCAGGGCAUUGUGGAAACAGCUGGCGAAUUUGAAUAAGAUGAGCAGGUCUCAUGAUA